AAGUCGAACGGCAGCACAGGAGAGCUUGCUCUCUGGGUGGCGAGUGGCGGACGGGUGAGGAAUACAUCGGAAUCUACUCUGUCGUGGGGGAUAACGUAGGGAAACUUACGCUAAUACCGCAUACGACCUACGGGUGAAAGCAGGGGAUCUUCGGACCUUGCGCGAUUGAAUGAGCCGAUGUCGGAUUAGCUAGUUGGCGGGGUAAAGGCCCACCAAGGCGACGAUCCGUAGCUGGUCUGAGAGGAUGAUCAGCCACACUGGAACUGAGACACGGUCCAGACUCCUACGGGAGGCAGCAGUGGGGAAUAUUGGACAAUGGGCGCAAGCCUGAUCCAGCCAUACCGCGUGGGUGAAGAAGGCCUUCGGGUUGUAAAGCCCUUUUGUUGGGAAAGAAAUCCAGCUGGCUAAUACCCGGUUGGGAUGACGGUACCCAAAGAAUAAGCACCGGCUAACUUCGUGCCAGCAGCCGCGGUAAUACGAAGGGUGCAAGCGUUACUCGGAAUUACUGGGCGUAAAGCGUGCGUAGGUGGUCGUUUAAGUCCGUUGUGAAAGCCCUGGGCUCAACCUGGGAACUGCAGUGGAUACUGGGCGACUAGAGUGUGGUAGAGGGUAGCGGAAUUCCUGGUGUAGCAGUGAAAUGCGUAGAGAUCAGGAGGAACAUCCAUGGCGAAGGCAGCUACCUGGACCAACACUGACAC
rnacentral:rRNA from 1 species